rnacentral:misc_RNA from 1 species
GAUGAAGAACGUAGCGAAAUGCGAUAAGUAAUGUGAAUUGCAGAAUUCAGUGAAUCAUCGAAUCUUUGAACGCACAUUGCGCCCGCCAGUAUUCUGGCGGGCAUGCCUGUUCGAGCGUCAUUACAACCCUCAGGCCCCCGGGCCUGGCGUUGGGGAUCGGCGGAGCCCCCCGUGGGCACACGCCGUCCCCCAAAUGCAGUGGCGGUCCCGCCGCAGCUUCCAUCGCGUAGUAGCUAACACCUCGCGACUGGAGAGCGGCGCGGCCACGCCGUAAAACAACCAACUCUUCUGAAGUUGACCUCGAAUCAGGUAGGAAUACCCGCUGAACUUAAGCAUAUCAAUAAGCGGAGGA